CAAUAGGUGGGAGGGGAGGAGGAAGACGAAGGGUGGGGUGGGCUACCCCGCCUUCCCCCGUCCAAUAUUUGCCACCGGGACGCGGCGGGCUCUGCGAACAACUCCCGGAGCAGCUGUUUCCCGUCGCCGGACUCGAGCCGAGGAAGCCCGCGCAGCCCCGGCACCCAGGGCGCCCCGAUGAGGAACACGCUCUUAAACCUCCAUAUCCUCAAGACGAAACCAACAAUCAUCUUUAUCAUUGGCAUCAUGGGAGUUGGAAUAGGUAGCGGACUCCUCUGCUGCUUGAAGUAUGCCAUGUUCAACCCCGAAAUAAGUUGGAUUAAGAAGGAUUCAGAAAAAUGGGAUGAGCAGAACCCUAAUUACCCAUACAAGUUCGUAGGUCUCACCGAGGACAACAGUGCCAAGAAGAGAACUCGCCCAGACUUGUGAGGGUGCUGCAGCUCAGUCCUUCUCCUGCCCCCUGCGAUGUUCAGAGGAAGGACUGCCUGCUUUGCCGCUUUGCAUGGCCCACAUCUCUAGCUCCUGGGCUGGGCCGCCUCUUAUGUGCCACGCAUUUACAUGGUGUACAUGCCAAAGGACCGCUUCUGUUUCCUACCUGCCUGUGUGUGAUUAGACGUGCCCCGAAGUUUGCCAGUAAGGUGUCAAAAGCCCAUCUGGAGGAACCAAAGGAAAAUAUUAACCCAUUCUCCUUUCUGUGAAAAUGCCUCUGGGAACUGAAGUAAUAAGCAACUUAUUUAGUAAAGGUUGACUGACCACAGUGGAGGGGAGAAAAAGAGGAAGGAAACAACCCUGUUGUUCCCUUUGGCUCCUGCAGAGGCUUCUUGGUUCACUCUUUUCCACCCUGUUCUUGUGAGUGGCCCUGACCCAUAUAUUCUGCAUUUCCUGUCUCCCACCCUCAGAGUCACCAUUCCCAUGGAGAAAGUGCAGCACCAGUAAGUAGAUUGUGAAGCCAGUCAACCUGACUGAAGUCUUAGGAGAGAUGCCCGCCAUCAGACAGCCAAGGCUACCUUUUCUAAAACUGGAAAUGCCAGCUGCGGUCUCUGGAGAGAGGCUAUGCACAAGAGAUCCAAGUCCGGGUUUGGAGGAAGUAAAUUGAGGGGAGAAGGGGUAGACGAUUCAGGCAACACGUCUGGAAAGGGUUCGGGAACCUUCGUAUGGAACCAACCUGGGUUUUGACAACAGUUGUGGGAAGGAUUGAAGAUAUGCCUAUUUGUAUAUGUGGGCAAUUAUGAAGUUAUGCUUUUGGAUCUGAGUGCUAUUAUAUGGACAUCUGAUUACAGUGUGCGUUAAUUUAUUCUAUAACAUUUCUGUGCAUUUCCACCCAAAUGAUGUUGGUAUGAAAUUAUUUGGUACAAAAUAUUACACAAAUAUAAUUAUAAUUACACUUUGUAUGCAUACACUAAGCAUUCACACUAUUCAGUAUACACAG
rnacentral:lncRNA from 1 species